UCGAACGAUGAAACUUAGCUGAUUUCUUCGGAAUGAAAAUAAGUGGAUUAGUGGCGAACGGGUGAGUAACACGUGAGUAACCUGCCUUACACAAGGGGAUAGCCUUUGGAAACGAAGAAUAAUACCCUAUAAAGUUAGUCAAUCGCAUGGUAGACUAACCAAAGAUUUAUCGGUGUAAGAUGGACUUGCGUCUGAUUAGCUAGUUGGUGAGAUAAAAGCCCACCAAGGCGACGAUCAGUAGCCGGCUUGAGAGAGUGUACGGCCACAUUGGGACUGAGACACGGCCCAAACUCCUACGGGAGGCAGCAGUGGGGAAUUUUGCACAAUGGGGGAAACCCUGAUGCAGCGACGCCGCGUGAUUUAGAAGGCCUUCGGGUUGUAAAAAUCUUUUUUAUGGGAUGAAAAUGACAGUACCAUAAGAAUAAGGUCCGGCUAAAUACGUGCCAGCAGCCGCGGUAAUACGUAUGGACCGAGCGUUGUCCGGAAUCAUUGGGCGUAAAGGGUACGUAGGCGGCCUAGUAAGUUAGAAGUGAAAUAAUAUAGCUCAACUAUAUAAAGCUUUUAAAACUGUUAGGCUUGAGAGAUGAAAGGGAAAGUGGAAUUCCUAGU
rnacentral:rRNA from 1 species